UGAUAAAACUUUAGCUAGACUGACCAAGAACAAGAGAAAACUCAAACUGCUAAAAUCAAGUAUGAAAGAAGCUGGGCACCUGGGUGGCUCAGUGG